rnacentral:rRNA from 1 species
AGUGAACGCUGGCGGUAGGCCUAACACAUGCAAGUCGAACGGCAGCACAGUAAGAGCUUGCUCUUACGGGUGGCGAGUGGCGGACGGGUGAGGAAUACAUCGGAAUCUACUUUUUCGUGGGGGAUAACGUAGGGAAACUUACGCUAAUACCGCAUACGACCUACGGGUGAAAGCAGGGGAUCUUCGGACCUUGCGCGAUUGAAUGAGCCGAUGUCGGAUUAGCUAGUUGGCGGGGUAAAGGCCCACCAAGGCGACGAUCCGUAGCUGGUCUGAGAGGAUGAUCAGCCACACUGGAGCUGAGACACGGUCCAGGCUCCUACGGGAGGCAGCAGUGGGGAAUAUUGGACAGUGGGCGCAAGCCUGAUCCAGCCAUACCGCGUGGGUGAAGAAGGCCUUCGGGUUGCAAAGCCCUUUUGUUGGGAAAGAAAAGCAGCAGGUUAAUACCCCGCUGUUCUGACGGUACCCAAAGAAUAAGCACCGGCUAACUUCGUG